CGGGCAGCCUACACAUGCAAGUCGAACGGUAACUUUUGGUGCUUGCACCGAAAGACGAGUGGCGAACGGGUGCGUAACGCGUAUGCAACCUGCCUUUUACUGGGGAAUAGCCCGAAGAAAUUCGGAUUAAUGCCCCAUAUGCUCGCACAAUCGCAUGAUUGAGCGAGGAAAGCUCCGGCGGUAAAAGAUGGGCAUGCGUCCUAUUAGCUUGUUGGUGAGGUAAUGGCUCACCAAGGCUACGAUAGGUAGGGGACCUGAGAGGGUGAACCCCCACACUGGUACUGAGACACGGACCAGACUCCUACGGGAGGCAGCAGUGAGGAAUAUUGGGCAAUGGAGGAAACUCUGACCCAGCCAUGCCGCGUGCAGGAAGACGGCCCUCUGGGUUGUAAACUGCUUUUAUAUGGGAAUAAACCCUUCCACGUGUGGAAGGCUGAAGGUACCAUAAGAAUAAGGAUCGGCUAACUCCGUGCCAGCAGCCGCGGUAAUACGGAGGAUCCAAGCGUUAUCCGGAAUCAUUGGGUUUAAAGGGUCCGUAGGCGGUUUUUUAAGUCAGAGGUGAAAUCCUGCAGCUCAACUGUAGAAUUGCCUUUGAUACUGAAAGACUUGAGUUAUUGUGAAGUGGUUAGAAUGUGUGGUGUAGCGGUGAAAUGCAUAGAUAUCACACAGAAUACCAAUUGCGAAGGCAGAUCACUAACAAUAUACUGACGCUCAGGGACGAAAGCGUGGGGUAGCGAACAGGAUUAGAUACCCUGGUAGUCCACGCCGUAAACGAUGGAUACUAGCUGUAUGUCUACUUCAG
rnacentral:rRNA from 1 species